GACGAACGCUGGCGGCGUGCUUAACACAUGCAAGUCGAGCGGUAAGGCCCUUUCGGGGGUACGACGAGCGGCGAACGGGUGAGUAACACGUGGGUGACCUGCCUUUAGUCUCUGGGAUAAGCCUGGGAAACCGGGUCUAAUACCGGAUAUGACUCCGCGGCGCAUGUUGUGGGGUGGAAAGCCUUGUGCGGCUGGAGAUGGGCCCGCGGCCUAUCAGCUUGUUGGUGGGGUGAUGGCCUACCAAGGCGACGACGGGUAGCCGCCUGAGAGGGCGACCGGCCACACUGGGACUGAGACACGGCCCAGACUCCUACGGGAGGCAGCAGUGGGGAAUCUUGCGCAAUGGGCGAAAGCCUGACGCAGCGACGCCGCGUGAGGGAUGACGGCCUCGUGUAAC
rnacentral:rRNA from 1 species